GUUGGGUAGGGGAGCGUUCUGUAAGCCUGCGAAGGUGUACUGUGAGGUAUGCUGGAGGUAUCAGAAGUGCGAAUGCUGACAUAAGUAACGAUAAUGCGGGUGAAAAACCCGCACGCCGGAAGACCAAGGGUUCCUGUCCAACGUUAAUCGGGGCAGGGUGAGUCGACCCCUAAGGCGAGGCUGAAAAGCGUAGUCGAUGGGAAACGGGUUAAUAUUCCCGUACUGGUGGUAACUGCGAUGGGGGAACGGAGAAGGCUAGGUUGUCCGGGCGACGGUCGUCCCGGUUCAAGCAGGUAGGCAGAGUGAUUAGGCAAAUCCGGUCACUUAAUGCUGAGAUGUGAUGACGAACCACCAAGGUGGUGAAGCAAUUGAUGCCCCGCUUCCAGGAAAAGCCUCUAAGCUUCAGGUUACCAACAAUCGUACCCCAAACCGACACAGGUGGUCAGGUAGAGAAUACUCAGGCGCUUGAGAGAACUCGGGUGAAGGAACUAGGCAAAAUGGUGCCGUAACUUCGGGAGAAGGCACGCUGGCGGUAGGUAAAGUCCCUCGCGGACGGCGCUGAAGCCAGUCGAAGAUACCAGCUGGCUGCAACUGUUUAUUAAAAACACAGCACUGUGCAAACACGAAAGUGGACGUAUACGGUGUGACGCCUGCCCGGUGCUGGAAGGUUAAUUGAUGGGGUUAGCGCAAGCGAAGCUCCUGAUCGAAGCCCCAGUAAACGGCGGCCGUAACUAUAACGGUCCUAAGGUAGCGAAAUUCCUUGUCGGGUAAGUUCCGACCUGCACGAAUGGCGUAAUGAUGGCCAGGCUGUCUCCACCCGAGACUCAGUGAAAUUGAACUCGCUGUGAAGAUGCAGUGUACCCGCGGCAAGACGGAAAGACCCCGUGAACCUUUACUAUAGCUUGACACUGAACAUUGAGCCUUGAUGUGUAGGAUAGGUGGGAGGCUUUGAAGUGUGGACGCCAGUCUGCAUGGAGCCAACCUUGAAAUACCACCCUUUAACGUUUGAUGUUCUAACCUAGGCCCAUAAACUGGGUCGGGGACCGUGUCUGGUGGGUAGUUUGACUGGGGCGGUCUCCUCCUAAAGAGUAACGGAGGAGCACGAAGGUUGGCUAAGCAUGGUCGGACAUCAUGCGGUUAGUGCAAAGGCAUAAGCCAGCUUGACUGCGAGAGUGACGGCUCGAGCAGGUACGAAAGUAGGUCUUAGUGAUCCGGUGGUUCUGAAUGGAAGGGCCAUCGCUCAACGGAUAAAAGGUACUCCGGGGAUAACAGGCUGAUACCGCCCAAGAGUUCAUAUCGACGGCGGUGUUUGGCACCUCGAUGUCGGCUCAUCACAUCCUGGGGCUGAAGUAGGUCCCAAGGGUAUGGCUGUUCGCCAUUUAAAGUGGUACGCGAGCUGGGUUUAGAACGUCGUGAGACAGUUCGGUCCCUAUCUGCCGUGGGCGUUGGAAGAUUGAGAGGGGUUGCUCCUAGUACGAGAGGACCGGAGUGAACGCACCACUGGUGUUCGGGUUGUCAUGCCAAUGGCAUUGCCCGGUAGCUAAGUGCGGAAGAGAUAACCGCUGAAAGCAUCUAAGCGGGAAACUUGCCUCGAGAUGAGUCUUCCCUGUCGCUUUAAGCGACCUAAAGGAACGUUUAAGACUAAGACGUUGAUAGGCUGGGUGUGUAAGCGUAGCGAUACGUUGAGCUAACCAGUACUAAUGAACCGUGAGGCUUAACCUG
rnacentral:rRNA from 1 species